GGUCCACCGUCACUUGCGCACUCAUCAGGGAUGCCAAAGGUGCAGAAGGUGCGCCUCAGACAUUCUACUAGGCCGGCGGAGCCAUCACGAGCCUUUUCGACGAUUGGCCAGUUAGAGUAUCUGUCCACUGCUACCAGUUGGAGCUUCAGUGAAAUCCAAGAUGGCGGCCGUAUUUUCGUGUUGACGUUUUGCUGUUGUUGUGGGCUGUUUCUGCUUCUUUUCGGCUUGGUUAUCCUGUAUCUGCGUUCCUCAAUGUCUUUGGGAGGUAGGUAGUUCUUUAUCAUAGAUAAGAGUGCUUCUUUUUCCUGUUUGCAAUGAUGUUUUAUUACAUGAACGAACGGAAUGAUAAAGAACUACAAUGAGUUCUGACCGGGCUAGUCCCAGUCCUUCCACAGGGAAUCCAAACAAUGCUCUAAUCUUCAUUUGAUUCGUACUCCGAGUCCCUUUGCUUUUUCCAGAGCCUUUGCUCGUCAUUUAACCUGUACUCAGAACUUGUCUGUCUUUUUCGCACUCUCUGCUCCUCGGUGAGUGCACGGUCAAGCUAUCUUUGCUGAGCUCUUUGUUCUUCCGUCAACACUCGUGGCCUGCGUGACCUCUCCUCCUCAUUAACUUGCUCCUCCCGUUUUAUUUGUUCUUUUUGUUCAACAAUAAUGAAUCUAAACGACAUGGCAUGGUUUUAAAAAUAGCCCGAUGGUAUAAAAAUGUCUUAAAUGUGAACACAAGUGCACGAGAGACUGCCGCCAUCUUGAUUUUAGAUGCUCUCAAAAGUGGAAUGGACACCACCGAGUUUAUAAACAAUACAUGAAACCUAAUCAAUUUUAUUUUGGUGUUUUUUCUUUUUUUUAGAUUUAUGAUAAUAAAUCCGCGAGGAAACCUUUUUAACAUGAAACAAAAUGUCCAAUUCAACACCGUUGUUGAACUCGUCCUUGCAAAUAAGCUAUGUAACGCUUAGCGAUCUGCGCGAGCGUUGAGGGACAAAUUGUCACAUGCCAAACAACUUUUCGUGCAAAUCUGCGUAGUGUUUCGGAACUGUUUUACUGAUCGAAUGUCCACAGAGAUCACGGAAAAAUCGGGUAGAUUUACGGUGAUUUAAUGGACGAAAACGAACGUAAACUGAAAUACGAUACAGAAUCAACUAAUUAAUAAAUUGUGGUAAAAGUUACAGGUGUGAUAGAAUCUUGUGUCGGACAUUCCAAUCAUACUUUAUACAUUACAAGUAGUUAUUGCUAAAGACUAAAAUGCAUAAAAUCAUACAACGAAACAUAGCAUGAGCAUAAACACAUUUCAAUGAUGAUAAAUGGUAAAUAGCAAUCAUAAUAAAGGCUAUAAGAACACUUUACUAGAAAAAUGUCUAAAUGUACAUGCUUGCGGGAAUUCCACUGCAAGCAAUAGAAAAAAGUUCCAGAUACGACUGUUCUUUAACUGAGGAUAGCAAACCACAAGCAUGAAACUAAGGCAAGAUUUGUACUGAGAAAACUAGACUAAAACUCUUAAGAACGAGCACUUAGGCUAAGGCGUUGUCACGUAUCUAUAAAGAACAAUAGGUCCUUGUAAGACUAGAUCAUUCAAAUAAC